CCUACGGGAGGCAGCAGUCGAGAAUUUUUCACAAUGGACGAAAGUCUGAUGGAGCGACGCCGCGUGGAGGAUGAAGGUUCUUGGAUUGUAAACUCCUGUCACUGCAGAACAAGGCUACGCAUGUUAAUAGCAAGCGUAGUUGAUGGUAUGCGGAGAGGAAGGGACGGCUAACUCUGUGCCAGCAGCCGCGGUGAU
rnacentral:rRNA from 1 species